GAUGAACGCUGGCGGCGUGCCUAAUACAUGCAAGUUGAGCGAACAGACGAGGAGCUUGCUCCUCUGACGUUAGCGGCGGACGGGUGAGUAACACGUGGAUAACCUACCUAUAAGACUGGGAUAACUUCGGGAAACCGGAGCUAAUACCGGAUAAUAUAUUUAAACGCAUGGUUCAAUAGUGAAAGACGGUUUUGCUGUCACUUAUAGAUGGCUCCGCGCCGCAUUAGCUAGUUGGUAAGGUAAGGGCUUACCAAGGCGACAAUGCGUAGCCGACCUGAGAGGGUGAUCGGCCACACUGGAACUGAGACACGGUCCAGACUCCUACGGGAGGCAGCAGUAGGGAAUCUUCCGCAAUGGGCGAAAGCCUGACGGAGCAACGCCGCGUGAGUGAUGAAGGUCUUCGGAUCGUAAAACUCUGUUAUUAGGGAAGAACAAAUGUGUAAGUAACUAUGCACGUCUUGACGGUACCUAAUCAGAAAGCCACGGCUAACUACGUG
rnacentral:rRNA from 1 species